rnacentral:rRNA from 1 species
AGUGAACGCUGGCGGCGUGCCUAAUACAUGCAAGCCGAACGGAAUUUAAAAGAGCUUGCUCUUUUAAAUUUAGUGGCGCACGGGUGAGUAAUAUAUAGCUAAUCUGCCCCUUGCUGGAGGACAACAGUUAGAAAUGACUGCUAAUACUCCAUACUCCUUUUUACCAUAAGAUAAAUCGGGAAAGAAUUUCGGCAAGGGAUGAGACUAUAUCGUAUCAGCUAGUCGGUGGGGUAACGGCCUACCGAGGCUAUGACGCGUAACUGGUCUGAGAGGAUGAUCAGUCACAUUGGAACUGAGACACGGUCCAAACUCCUACGGGAGGCAGCAGUAGGGAAUAUUGCGCAAUGGGGGAAACCCUGACGCAGCAACGCCGCGUGGAGGAUGACACUUUUCGGAGCGUAAACUCCUUUUGUUAGGGAAGAAUAAUGACGGUACCUAAC